rnacentral:rRNA from 1 species
GAUGAACGCUGGCGGCGUGCCUAAUACAUGCAAGUCGAGCGAACAGACGAGGAGCUUGCUCCUCUGACGUUAGCGGCGGACGGGUGAGUAACACGUGGAUAACCUACCUAUAAGACUGGGAUAACUUCGGGAAACCGGAGCUAAUACCGGAUAAUAUAUUGAACCGUAUGGUUCAAUAGUGAAAGACGGUUUUGCUGUCACUUAUAGAUGGAUCCGCGCCGCAUUAGCUAGUUGGUAAGGUAACGGCUUACCAAGGCAACGAGGCGUAGCCGAGCUGAGAGGGUGAUCCGCCACACUGGAACUGAGACACGGCCCAGACUCCUACGUGAGGCAGCAUGAGAGUAUCUUCCGCAAUGGGCGGAAGCCUGAAGGAGCAAGGCCGCGUGAGUGAUGAAGUCCUUCGGAUCGUAAAACUCUGUUAUUAGGGAAGAACAAAUGUGUAAGUAACGAUGCACGUCUUGACGGUACCUAAUCAGAAAGCCACGGCUAACUACAAG